UGUAUUGCAUCAUUUGAGUCUAGUUUGGUGUUUUAAAUUUAAUUUUAUGUUUUUAAGUCAGUUUAGAGGUUAUUAGCAAGCCCUCCUAAUCCCCGAUCCAGAACGAUCCCUACUUACAUUCUUUACUACAAUUGAUACAAGAGGGUUUAAUUUGUGUGUUAAGUAAUUUUCGCAUCAAAUUUUUAAAUUUUUGGCGCCGUUGUCGGGG
rnacentral:lncRNA from 1 species